rnacentral:rRNA from 1 species
GUAGGAUAGAGGCCUACCAUGGUGGUAACGGGUAACGGGGUGUUAGGGCACGACACCGGAGAGGGAGCCUGAGAAACGGCUACCACAUCCAAGGAAGGCAGCAGGCGCGCAAAUUACCCAAUCCCGACACGGGGGGGUAGUGACAAUAAAUAACAAUACAGGGUUCUUUUGGAUCUUGUAAUUGGAAUGAGUACAAUUUAAAUCUCUUAACGAGGAACAAUUGGAGGGCAAGUCUGGUGCCAGCAGCCGCGGUAAUUCCAGCUCCAAUAGCGUAUAUUAAAGUUGUUGCAGUUAAAAAGCUCGUAGUUGAAUUUCGGGAUCAAGGAAUCGGUCAUGCCUUGGUAUGUACUGGUUUUAUUGGUUCUCACCUUCUAAAGAACCAUAAUGUCAUUCAUUUGAUGUUAUGGGGAAUUAGGACUGUUACCUUGAAAAAAUUAGAGUGUUUAAAGCAGGCUUACGCUUGAAUACAUUAGCAUGGAAUAAUGAAAUAGGACAUCAGAUUCUAUUUUGUUGGUUUCUAGGAUCGAUGUAAUGAUUAAUAGGGAUAGUUGGGGGCAUUAGUAUUCAAUUGUCAGAGGUGAAAUUCUUGGAUUUAUUGAAGACUAACAACUGCGAAAGCAUUUGCCAAGGAUGUUUUCAUUAAUCAAGAACGAAAGUUAGGGGAUCGAAGACGAUCAGAUACCGUCGUAGUCUUAACCAUAAACUAUGCCGACUAGGGAUCGGAUGAUGUUAAUUUUAUAAUGACUCAUUCGGCACCUUACGGGAAACCAAAGUGUUUGGGUUC